AGAGGGCGACCGGCCACACUGGGACUGAGACACGGCCCAGACUCNUACGGGAGGCAGCAGUGGGGAAUAUUGGGCAAUGGAGGAAACUCUGACCCAGCGACGCCGCGUGCGGGAUGAAGGCUUCGGGUUGUAAACCGCUUUCAGCAGGGAAGAAGCGAAAGUGACGGUACCUGCAGAAGAAGCACCGGCUAACUAUGUGCCAGCAGCCGCGGUAAUACAUAGGGUGCAAGCGUUGUCCGGAAUUAUUGGGCGUAAAGAGCUCGUAGGUGGUUCGUCACGUCGGAUGUGAAAAUCUGGGGCUCAACCCCAGACCUGCAUUCGAUACGGGCGAACUAGAGUGUGGUAGGGGAGACUGGAAUUUCCUGGUGUAGCGGUGGAAUGCGCAGAUAUCAGGAGGAACACCAAUGGCGAAGGCAGUCUUCUGGCCAUU
rnacentral:rRNA from 1 species